CCUACGGGUGGCAGCAGUCGAGAAUCAUUCACAAUGGGGGAAACCCUGAUGGUGCGACGCCGCGUGGGGGAAUGAAGGUCUUCGGAUUGUAAACCCCUGUCAUGUGGGAGCAAAUUAAAAAGAUAGUACCACAAGAGGAAGAGACGGCUAACUCUGUGCCAGCAGCCGCGGUAAUACCGAGGUCUCAAGCGUUGUUCGGAAUCACUGGGCGUAAAGCGUGCGUAGGCUGUUUCGUAAGUCGUGUGUGAAAGGCGCGGGCUCAACCCGCGGACGGCACAUGAUACUGCGAGACUAGAGUAAGGGAGGGGGAACCGGAAUUCGCGGUGUAGCAGUGAAAUGCGUAGAUAUCGAGAGGAACACUCGUGGCGAAGGCGGGUUCCUGGACAUUAACUGACGCUGAGGCACGAAGGCCAGGGGAGCGAAAGGGAUUAGAUACCCCUGUAGUC
rnacentral:rRNA from 1 species